ensembl:lncRNA
CUCCGCCGCGCAGCCAAUCCCGGCCUCUAGCCGCUUAAAGGGGCGAUGUCCGGUCAAGGUGCUCGCGUGGGGUCCACUGGCGUCGGAUGGCCCCUCGCCAGGGAAGCAGUCUUUGUCUCCCGAGGGACGUGUUUUUGGCCUGCUGCGGCCCGGGCGUCCCUGCUCUGCCGAAUCCGGGAGGCCGCUGCCCGGCUCUGGGCACUCCUUCCCCUGAAUCUUCCUCUGAAUAGUGCAGGCCGCCCGGCCUCGGCCGCGGUUCCUGCCCGAACCAAAGGCGGCGCCAUGCCUCGCACGGGGUUUCCGUCGUUUGCAUCCCUGGGGAGGGUUUUCUCUUCCUCUGUCGGCGGGCCGCGUGGGUGGGCCGAGGGCACCGCGGGGAGGCGAGCGGACCCUCUGCGGGCCGGCCUGGGGAGGCGGGGGGCGCGUCUCCUGCAGGACCCGCGCUCACCACGAGGCCCGCGGCCCAAGACGUUGGAAGGACAGCUCGGGGCAUCAAGGGUCUGCGCAAGACAAGAAAGGACAGAGCGAGGCAUCGGAGGACAGCGUGGGCAGAGUGGCACAGUAGUAAGAAGAGGCUGUCCUUGGAGUAAGAACAGGGGGAGGUUCUGGCUCAGAAAUCUUACGAUCACAAUAUCUGCUUUCUUGAGGACAUUGUUCCUGUCUGUCCUUUCCCAGCAUCCUUGCAAGUCGUGUGAUAAAUUCUACCAAGUAAAGAAAAUGUUGAAUCAAAGAGACGGAUCAUCUUUCAAAACUUUUUCAGUUGCUAAAUGGCAACCAGAUUGUUGGGACAGCUAGUAGAAGUACAGUGUUCAGUUAAUGAUAUGCUCUUCAACUUUGGAGUUUUG